rnacentral:rRNA from 1 species
ACUCCUACGGGAGGCAGCAGUGGGGAAUAUUGCACAAUGGGCGCAAGCCUGAUGCAGCCAUGCCGCGUGUAUGAAGAAGGCCUUCGGGUUGUAAAGUACUUUCAGCAGUGAGGAAGGUGAGUCGUUAAUUAGCGGCCUCAUUUGAUCGUUUAGCUUGCAGAAGAAGACACCGGCGUAACUCCGUGCCAGCAGCCGCGGUAAUACGGAGGGUGCGAGCGUUAAUCGGAAUUACUGGGCGUAAAGCGCAUGCAGGUGGUUUGUUAAGUCAGAUGUGAAAGCCCGGGGCUCAACCUCGGAAUAUGACAUUUGAAACUGGCAGACUAGAGUACUGGGUAG